AGUGAACGCUGGCGGUAGGCCUAACACAUGCAAGUCGAACGGCAGCACAGUAAGAGCUUGCUCUUACGGGUGGCGAGUGGCGGACGUGUGAGGAAUACAUCGGAAUCUACUUUUUCGUGGGGGAUAACGUAGGGAAACUUACGCUAAUACCGCAUACGACCUACGGGUGAAAGCAGGGGAUCUUCGGACCUUGCGCGAUUGAAUGAGCCCAUGUCGGAUUAGCUAGUUGGCGGGGUAAAGGCCCACCAAGUCGACGAUCCGUAGCUGGUCUGAGAGGAUGAUCAGCCACACUGGAACUGAGACACGGACCAGACUCCUACGGGAGGCAGCAGUGGGGAAUAUUGGACAAUGGGCGCAAGCCUGAUCCAGCCAUAGCGCGUGGGUGAAGAAGGCCUUCGGGUUGUAAAGACCUUUUGUUGGGAAAGAAAAGCAGCAGGUUAAUACCCCGCUGUUCUGACGGUACCCAAAGAAUAAGCACCGGCUAACUUCGUG
rnacentral:rRNA from 1 species